rnacentral:rRNA from 1 species
CUACGGGUGGCUCCAGUGAGGAAUAUUGCACAAUGGGGGGAACCCUGAUGCAGCAACGCCGCGUGGAGGAUGACGCAUUUCGGUGUGUAAACUCCUUUUAUAUGUCAAGAAAAUGACGGUAGCAUAUGAAUAAGCACCGGCUAACUCCGUGCCAGCAGCCGCGGUAAUACGGAGGGUGCAAGAGUUACUCGGUAUCACUGGGCGUAAAGGACGCGUAGGCGGGUUGGAAAGUCAGGUGUGAAAUCCUACAGCUUAACUGUAGAACUGCACUUGAAACUUCUAAUCUAGAGUAUGGGAGGGGGAGAUGGAAUUAGUGGUGUAGGGGUAAAAUCCGUAGAUAUCACUAGGAAUACCUAAAGCGAAGGCGAUCUCCUGGAACAUUACUGACGCUAAGGCGUGAAAGCGUGGGGAGCAAACAGGAUUAGAUACCCGGGUAGUC